GACAGAGGGUGCAAACGUUGUUCGGAAUUACUGGGCGUAAAGCGAGUGUAGGCGGUUUGGAAAGUCGGAUGUGAAAGCCCCCGGGCUCAACCCGGGAAGUGCACUCGAUACUCCCAAGCUAGAGUAUCGGAGAGGUUGGCGGAAUUCUCGGUGUAGAGGUGAAAUUCGUAGAUAUCGAGAGGAACACCGGCGGCGAAGGCGGCCAACUGGACGAAUACUGACGCUGAGACUCGAAAGCGUGGGGGAGCAAACACGG
rnacentral:rRNA from 1 species